AAGUUUUGUUGAUGUGUGAGCAUGCACACACAUACAUACACACACAUAAUAUAUACACAUUUAUACCUUGUUUCGUUGUACAUCCGAUUGUCUUUUCUUUAUUGAGUUCUUUUGUGCUCUUUUUUGGUCAGCUCCGUAACUUGGAAACAAAUCAAAAAAAAAAUCCAAAUCGUAACUAAAUAUAAAUUAUGCUCUACCUACUCGAUUUUUGCUUUCUGUCUUUUCUGUUUUCUGUUUGCCUUUCUCUUUUCAUGUGGGGGUGUCUCUUGUCCUCUAUAUGUUUGCUUCUUCUACUUCCUCCGCCUCUUUUCAACUAAAUGUAAUUUUAAAGAUACUUUUUGUUUUUGUUGUUGUUGUUGUUGUUGUUGUUGUGCUUGGACUCCCUCAACCAUUUUUGGCAUUUGUAUGUUUUGCAUGUCCUUCAAUCCGUACCCA